GGCGCACGGGUGAGUAACACGUGGGUAACCUACCUCUCGGUGGGGGAUAACACACCGAAAGGUGUGCUAAUACCGCAUAACACGACAUUGUAGAUUAUGAUGUCGUCAAAGGUGGCGAAAGCUGCCGCUGAGAGAUGGGCCCGCGGACCAUUAGCUAGUUGGUAGGGUAAUGGCCUACCAAGGCCACGAUGGUUAGCUGGUCUGAGAGGAUGUCCAGCCACACUGGAACUGGAACACGGUCCAGACUCCUACGGGAGGCAGCAGUGAGGAAUUUUGCGCAAUGGGGGGAACCCUGACGCAGCAACGCCGCGUGAGUGAAGAAGGCCUUCGGGUUGUAAAGCUCUGUCAGAGCUGAAGAAACUACUUCGGGUAAAUAGCCCGUGGUACUGACGGUAAGCUCAGAGGAAGCACCGGCUAACUCCGUGCCAGCAGCCGCGGUAAUACGGAGGGUGCAAGCGUUGUUCGGAUUUAUUGGGCGUAAAGAGUGUGUAGGCGGUUUUGCAAGUCAGGUGUGAAAUCCCGGGGCUUAACCCCGGAACUGCGCCUGAAACUGCAGGACUUGAGUAC
rnacentral:rRNA from 1 species